AACAACGGCCAUACCAGUGUGAAAGCUUCCGAUCUCAUCUGAUCUUGGAAGCUAAACAUGUUCGGGCUCGGCCAGUACUUGGAUGGGAGACCACCCGGGAACCCCGAGUGCUGUAAGCU
rnacentral:rRNA from 1 species